rnacentral:rRNA from 1 species
UACGUAGGGAGCAAGCGUUGUUCGGAUUUACUGGGCGUAAAGGGCGCGUAGGCGGCGCGGUAAGUCACUUGUGAAAUCUCUGAGCUUAACUCAGAACGGCCAAGUGAUACUGCAGUGCUAGAGUGCAGAAGGGGCAAUCGGAAUUCUUGGUGUAGCGGUGAAAUGCGUAGAUAUCAAGAGGAACCCCUGAGGUGAAGACGGGUUGCUGGGCUGACACUGACGCUGAGGCGCGAAAGCGUGGGGAGCGAACAGG